CCCUUAGAUGUUCUGGGCUGCACGCGCGCUACACUGAAGCGUUCAACGAGUAUUCACCUUGCCCGGGAGGGUUGGGUAAUCUUUUCAAAACGCUUCGUGAUGGGGAUAGAUUAUUGCAAUUAUUAAUCUUCAACGAGGAAUUCCUUGUAAUCGUGAUUCAUCACAUCACGAUGAAUACGUCCCUGCCCUUUGUACACACCGCCCGUCGCUCCUACCGAUCGAAGAGUUAGGUGAAUUGUUUUGAUCGAUAAGAUUUGACUAUGGUCAACUCUCGUUGUGAAAUUCUGUGAAUCUGACUGUUUAGAGGAAGGAAAAGUCGUAACA
rnacentral:rRNA from 1 species